UAUUCAUGAUUAAGACAACUUCUCACUAACCCCUUGAAUCAUUCCCAAGCCUCAUAGAAAAGUUCCCCUGGAUUUGUUGUUCAAAAUUGAGAAGCUCACCUCUCAAUGU